rnacentral:rRNA from 1 species
AGAGUUUGAUCAUGGCUCAGAUUGAACGCUGGCGGCAGGCCUAACACAUGCAAGUCGAACGGUAACAGGAAGCAGCUUGCUGCUUUGCUGACGAGUGGCGGACGGGUGAGUAAUGUCUGGGAAACUGCCUGAUGGAGGGGGAUAACUACUGGAAACGGUGGCUAAUACCGCAUAACGUCGCAAGACCAAAGAGGGGGACCUUCGGGCCUCUUGCCAUCAGAUGUGCCCAGAUGGGAUUAGCUAGUUGGUGAGGUAACGGCUCACCAAGGCGACGAUCCCUAGCUGGUCUGAGAGGAUGACCAGCCACACUGGAACUGAGACACGGUCCAGACUCCUACGGGAGGCAGCAGUGGGGAAUAUUGCACAAUGGGCGCAAGCCUGAUGCAGCCAUGCCGCGUGUAUGAAGAAGGCCUUCGGGUUGUAAAGUACUUUCAGCGGGGAGGAAGGUGUUGCGGUUAAUAACCGCAGCAAUUGACGUUACCCGCAGAAGAAGCACCGGCUAACUCCGUGCCAGCAGCCGCGGUAAUACGGAGGGUGCAAGCGUUAAUCGGAAUUACUGGGCGUAAAGCGCACGCAGGCGGUCUGUCAAGUCGGAUGUGAAAUCCCCGGGCUCAACCUGGGAACUGCAUUCGAAACUGGCAGGCUUGAGUCUUGUAGAGGGGGGUAGAAUUCCAGGUGUAGCGGUGAAAUGCGUAGAGAUCUGGAGGAAUACCGGUGGCGAAGGCGGCCCCCUGGACAAAGACUGACGCUCAGGUGCGAAAGCGUGGGGAGCAAACAGGAUUAGAUACCCUGGUAGUCCACGCCGUAAACGAUGUCUACUUGGAGGUUGUGCCCUUGAGGUGUGGCUUCCGGAGCUAACGCGUUAAGUAGACCGCCUGGGGAGUACGGCCGCAAGGUUAAAACUCAAAUGAAUUGACGGGGGCCCGCACAAGCGGUGGAGCAUGUGGUUUAAUUCGAUGCAACGCGAAGAACCUUACCUGGUCUUGACAUCCACAGAAGAAUCCAGAGAUGGAUUUGUGCCUUCGGGAACUGUGAGACAGGUGCUGCAUGGCUGUCGUCAGCUCGUGUUGUGAAAUGUUGGGUUAAGUCCCGCAACGAGCGCAACCCUUAUCCUUUGUUGCCAGCGGUCCGGCCGGGAACUCAAAGGAGACUGCCAGUGAUAAACUGGAGGAAGGUGGGGAUGACGUCAAGUCAUCAUGGCCCUUACGACCAGGGCUACACACGUGCUACAAUGGCGCAUACAAAGAGAAGCGACCUCGCGAGAGCAAGCGGACCUCAUAAAGUGCGUCGUAGUCCGGAUUGGAGUCUGCAACUCGACUCCAUGAAGUCGGAAUCGCUAGUAAUCGUGGAUCAGAAUGCCACGGUGAAUACGUUCCCGGGCCUUGUACACACCGCCCGUCACACCAUGGGAGUGGGUUGCAAAAGAAGUAGGUAGCUUAACCUUCGGGAGGGCGCUUACCACUUUGUGAUUCAUGACUGGGGUGAAGUCGUAACAAGGUAACCGUAGGGGAACCUGCGGUUG